rnacentral:rRNA from 1 species
ACGGGGGGGGCAAGCGUUGUUCGGAAUUACUGGGCGUAAAGGGCUCGUAGGCGGCCAACUAAGUCAGACGUGAAAUCCCUCGGCUUAACCGGGGAACUGCGUCUGAUACUGGAUGGCUCGAAUCCGGGAGAGGGAUGCGGAAUUCCAGGUGUAGCGGUGAAAUGCGUAGAUAUCUGGAGGAACACCGGUGGCGAAGGCGACAUCCUGGACCGGUAUUGACGCUGAGUGAGCGAAAGCCAGGGGAGCAAACGGGA